GGUCGCGUAGCUCAGUUGGUUAGAGCGCUACAUUCACAUUGUAGAAGUCACAGGUUCAAGUCCUGUCGCGACCACCC
rnacentral:tRNA from 1 species